CCUACGGGUGGCAGCAGUGAGGAAUAUUGGUCAAUGGACGAGAGUCUGAACCAGCCAAGUAGCGUGAAGGAUGACUGCCCUAUGGGUUGUAAACUUCUUUUAUAUGGGAAUAAAAUGUUCCACGUGUGGGAUUUUGUAUGUACCAUAUGAAUAAGGAUCGGCUAACUCCGUGCCAGCAGCCGCGGUAAUACGGAGGAUCCGAGCGUUAUCCGGAUUUAUUGGGUUUAAAGGGAGCGUAGGUGGAUUGUUAAGUCAGUUGUGAAAGUUUGCGGCUCAACCGUAAAAUUGCAGUUGAAACUGGCAGUCUUGAGUACAGUAGAGGUGGGCGGAAUUCGUGGUGUAGCGGUGAAAUGCUUAGAUAUCACGAAGAACUCCGAGUGCGAAGGCAGUUCACUGGACUGCAACUGACACUGAGGCUCGAUAGUGUGGGUAUCAAACAGGAUUAGAUACCCUAGUAGUC
rnacentral:rRNA from 1 species